rnacentral:rRNA from 1 species
AGAGCGAACGCUGGCGGCAGGCUUAACACAUGCAAGUCGAGCGGGCGUAGCAAUACGUCAGCGGCAGACGGGUGAGUAACGCGUGGGAACAUACCUUUUGGUUCGGAACAACCCAGGGAAACUUGGGCUAAUACCGGAUAAGCCCUUACGGGGAAAGAUUUAUCGCCGAAAGAUUGGCCCGCGUCUGAUUAGCUAGUUGGUGAGGUAACGGCUCACCAAGGCGACGAUCAGUAGCUGGUCUGAGAGGAUGAUCAGCCACAUUGGGACUGAGACACGGCCCAAACUCCUACGGGAGGCAGCAGUGGGGAAUAUUGGACAAUGGGCGCAAGCCUGAUCCAGCCAUGCCGCGUGAGUGAUGAAGGCCCUAGGGUUGUAAAGCUUCUUUUGUGCGGGAAGAUAAUGACGGUACCGCAAGAAUAAGCCCCGGCUAACUUCGCGCCAGCAGCCGC